rnacentral:rRNA from 1 species
UUCCCCUACGGGGCGCAGCAGUGAGGAAUAUUGGUCAAUGGGCGGAAGCCUGAACCAGCCAAGUCGCGUGAGGGAAUAAGGCCCUACGGGUCGUAAACCUCUUUUGCCGGGGAGCAAGGGCGGGGACGUGUCCCGGCCCGGAGAGUACCCGGAGAAAAAGCAUCGGCUAACUCCGUGCCAGCAGCCGCGGUAAUACGGAGGAUGCGAGCGUUAUCCGGAUUUAUUGGGUUUAAAGGUUGCGUAGGCGGGCUUUUAAGUCAGCGGUCAUAAUUCGGGGCUCAACCCCGUCCGGUCGU